rnacentral:tRNA from 1 species
GCCUAGGUAGCUCAGUGGUAGAGCACUUUCUUGGUAAGAAAGGGGUCGAGGGUUCAAUUCCCUCUCUAGGCU